GCCAACCCACCCUCUUCCCUCCCUCAAACCCCCCAAAACCUCCUCCGCGGCGUCCUCAAGCUCCCAGGGACCGAAAUCCAAAAUCCGGCGCUUGCCUGCCGCCCCUCUUGGGCUCACUCACUCACUUCAUCCGGGGAAGGGGGGAAAAAAAGACUUCGCUUGGCAAAAAAGUUGCAAAAAUUGGACGCUCCCUUCCUUGUUUGCUUCCUUUCGUUUUACCUCUUCCUCCUCCGGUCCCUUCUGUCUCUUCCUCAGCUUAAGUCCAGCCUUGAUCCAUGGCACAAGAGGAGAAAGAAGCAGAGGAGGACGAAGUGGUGCGAACGAUUUGUUAGUUCAUGAGCCUAAUUAGUGCAGGAGGAUCACAUAAACAGCUUCCUCUGAAGCCUGGUAAAUGGCUUGAUGAUUGGUCGCUAUUACUCGCCUGGAGGGGGGCGGAGGAGGAGGAGGGAAGGAAGGAAAGAGAAAGAGAGAGAGAGGGAGAGAGAGGGAAAAGCAGAAAGGCGCUUUCAAGUGCGUCAGAGGCGAAAACUUCUGGCCCCCGCGAUCCUGGACGGGUGGAUUCCCAGCCCGGAACUGGAACGGACUCUUCUUCGUCCGAAGGAAAGCGGAGCCGAGACGGAGACGCUUCGGCGCAGCUUCGGAGAGGAGUCAGCAAUUUGGAAGAGGCUGAUUUGGAGUGGAUACUUUCAAUUAUCUGAUUGUAAGAAGAGUGCCUUCAAAAGAUUGCACAGCGUUUACAGAAUUCCUCAGCUGUGUGACGAUAGAAGCAUUGUAAUGAAUGGCAGAGUGUCAUGCAGGUGA
ensembl:lncRNA